UCGCAUCGAUGAAGAACGUAGCGAAAUGCGAUACUUGGUGUGAAUUGCAGAAUCCCGUGAACCAUCGAGUCUUUGAACGCAAGUUGCGCCCGAAGCCUUUAGGUCGAGGGCACGCCUGCUUGGGCGUCACGCAUCGCGUCUCCCCCCACCCACCUUGACUGG
rnacentral:rRNA from 1 species